CCCGGGCCCAGCAGUACACCUCAGCGGGACAGCGAUGGUUCCCUUCUCACACCUCAACUUGUUAAACCCUUGUGAUCAGAGGAAAUGCAGAGCAACCUAUGGAGAGCAAUGAGCCUCCACACCCAGCGAGCUGCAGCCUCUCCUGGUCCUGCAACUCAGCAACUCAGGGCGUCACCCUCCAUACGCUGUUCCUUUUCUGUGAAAGAGAGAUAAGUGCCCUCUGACUAUACCAUACACAAAAGUACAUACAACACAUAUAUGGAGUUUAAUAAAUGAAUCUAAAGUAGAUACCCAUGUAACUACGACGGAGGUCAACGACAUUAAAAGCAUCAUUACUGUUAUCAAUGGAAUACUGACAAUAAAAAUUUUAUUAAAAACUGCUUUGCCCACGUCCCUCAUGUGGCUGUGGUAGGA